UGUGGCAGCAAGGAUGAUAAAUGCUAUAAUCCCAGCUCAUUAUGAGACCUUUUUUUGUAAGAGGUCCGGGAAUUGAAACUUUUCACAUUUAUCUGAGCUUAAUC